rnacentral:rRNA from 1 species
AACGAACGCUGGCGGCAUGCCUAACACAUGCAAGUCGAACGAGACCUUCGGGUCUAGUGGCGCACGGGUGCGUAACGCGUGGGAACCUGCCCUUAGGUUCGGAAUAACUCCCCGAAAGGGGUGCUAAUACCGGAUAAUGUCUUCGGACCAAAGAUUUAUCGCCUUUGGAUGGGCCCGCGUUGGAUUAGCUAGUUGGUAGGGUAAAAGCCUACCAAGGCGACGAUCCGUAGCUGGUCUGAGAGGAUGAUCAGCCACACUGGGACUGAGACACGGUCCAGACUCCUACGGGAGGCAGCAGUGGGGAAUAUUGGACAAUGGGCGAAAGCCUGAUCCAGCCAUGCCGCGUGUGUGAAGAAGGUCUUCGGAUUGUAAAGCACUUUAAGUUGGGAGGAAGGGAAGUAAGUUAAUACCUUGCUGUUUUGACGUUACCAACAGAAUAAGCACCGGCUAACUUCGUG